rnacentral:tRNA from 1 species
CUGGCCUCGAUACCGUAAAAAUUUAGGCAACAGCUAAACGCCCUAGCCAGCGGGCUCUAACCUAUACUUCUCCCGC